rnacentral:rRNA from 1 species
UACAGGAGGGGCAAGCGUUGUUCGGAAUUACUGGGCGUAAAGGGCGCGUAGGCGGCCUUCUAAGUCGAACGUGAAAUCCCUGGGCUUAACCCAGGAACUGCGUCCGAUACUGGAAGGCUUGAAUCCGGGAGAGGGAUGCGGAAUUCCAGGUGUAGCGGUGAAAUGCGUAGAUAUCUGGAGGAACACCGGUGGCGAAGGCGGCAUCCUGGACCGGCAUUGACGCUGAGGCGCGAAAGCGUGGGGAGCGAACAGG